rnacentral:rRNA from 1 species
UACGAAGGGGGGCGAGCGUUGUUCGGAGUUACUGGGCGUAAAGAGUGCGUAGGCGGUUUUCUAAGUUUGGUGUGAAAUCUCCCGGCUUAACUGGGAGGGUGCGCCGAAAACUGGAAGGCUUGAGUAUGGGAGAGGUAAGCGGAAUUCCUGGUGUAGCGGUGAAAUGCGUAGAUAUCAGGAGGAACACCUGCGGUGUAGACGGCUUACUGGACCAUAACUGACGCUGAGGCACGAAAGCGUGGGUAGCAAACAGG